rnacentral:rRNA from 1 species
UACGGGGGGGGCAAGCGUUGUUCGGAAUUACUGGGCGUAAAGGGCUCGUAGGUGGCCAACUAAGUCAGACGUGAAAUCCCUCGGCUUAACCGGGGAACUGCGUCUGAUACUGGAUGGCUUGAGUUUGGGAGAGGAAUGCGGAAUUCCAGGUGUAGCGGUGAAAUGUGUAGAUAUCUGGAGGAACACCGGUGGCGAAGGCGGCAUUCUGGACCAAUACUGACGCUGAGGAGCGAAAGCCAGGGGAGCAAACGGG